CCUACGGGAGGCAGCAGUGGGGAAUUUUGGACAAUGGGCGCAAGCCUGAUCCAGCCAUGCCGCGUGUGGGAAGAAGGCCUUCGGGUUGUAAACCACUUUUGUCAGGGAAGAAACGGCCUUUUCUAAUACAGGGGGCUAAUGACGGUACCUGAAGAAUAAGCACCGGCUAACUACGUGCCAGCAGCCGCGGUAAUACGUAGGGUGCAAGCGUUAAUCGGAAUUACUGGGCGUAAAGCGUGCGCAGGCGGCUUUGCGAGACAGAUGUGAAAUCCCCGGGCUCAACCUGGGAACUGCAUUUGUGACUGCAUGGCUAGAGUACGGUAGAGGGGGAUGGAAUUCCGCGUGUAGCAGUGAAAUGCGUAGAUAUGCGGAGGAACACCGAUGGCGAAGGCAAUCCCCUGGACCUGUACUGACGCUCAUGCACGAAAGCGUGGGGAGCAAACAGGAUUAGAUACCCUGGUAGUCCACGCCCUAAACGAUGUCAACUGGUUGUUGGACGGCUUGCUGUUCAGUAACGAAGCUAACGCGUGAAGUUGACCGCCUGGGGAGUACGGCCGCAAGGGUUGAAAACGUUCGAAAAGUAGUAGUUACGGCGUGUAGACGUAGUCGACGACGGACCACGACGGGAGGGAGG
rnacentral:rRNA from 1 species